rnacentral:rRNA from 1 species
GAGGUUGUGCCCUUGAGGUGUGGCUUCCGGAGCUAACGCGUUAAGUCGACCGCCUGGGGAGUACGGCCGCAAGGUUAAAACUCAAAUGAAUUGACGGGGGCCCGCACAAGCGGUGGAGCAUGUGGUUUAAUUCGAUGCAACGCGAAGAACCUUACCUGGUCUUGACAUCCACGGAAGUUUUCAGAGAUGAGAAUGUGCCUUCGGGAACCGUGAGACAGGUGCUGCAUGGCUGUCGUCAGCUCGUGUUGUGAAAUGUUGGGUUAAGUCCCGCAACGAGCGCAACCCUUAUCCUUUGUUGCCAGCGGUCCGGCCGGGAACUCAAAGGAGACUGCCAGUGAUAAACUGGAGGAAGGUGGGGAUGACGUCAAGUCAUCAUGGCCCUUACGACCAGGGCUACACACGUGCUACAAUGGCGCAUACAAAGAGAAGCGACCUCGCGAGAGCAAGCGGACCUCAUAAAGUGCGUCGUAGUCCGGAUUGGAGUCUGCAACUCGACUCCAUGAAGUCGGAAUCGCUAGUAAUCGUGGAUCAGAAUGCCACGGUGAAUACGUUCCCGGGCCUUGUACACACCGCCCGUCACACCAUGGGAGUGGGUUGCAAAAGAAGUAGGUAGCUUAACCUUCGGGAGGGCGCUUACCACUUUGUGAUUCAUGACUGGGGUGAAGUCGUAACAAGGUAACCGUAGGGGAACCUGCGGUUGGAUCACCUCCUUACCUUAAAGAAGC